rnacentral:rRNA from 1 species
ACGAACGCUGGCGGCGUGCUUAACACAUGCAAGUCGCACGCUGAAGAAGAGAAACGCGAACUUCGGUUCAAAUUUCACUUCGGGGUAGUGGCAGACGGGUGAGUAACGCGGGAGCAACCUACCUCUUACAAAGGGAUAGCCUCGGGAAACCGGGAUUAAUUCCAAAUGACACCUUCAUAAGGCAUCUUAAGAAUGUUAAAGCUACGGCGGUAAGAGAUGGGCUCGCGUCCCAUUAGCUAGUUGGUGAGGUAACGGCCCACCAAGGCGACGAUGGGUAACCGGCCUGAGAGGGUGAACGGUCACAUUGGAACUGAGACACGGUCCAAACUCCUACGGGAGGCAGCAGUGGGGAAUAUUGCACAAUGGAGGGAACUCUGAUGCAGCGACGCCGCGUGAGCGAUGAAGGAAUUCGUUUCGUAAAGCUCUGUUCUAUGGGAAGAAAAGGACUGUACCAUAGGAGAAAGCCCCGGCUAAAUACGUG